GUGGCGGUCGGUGACGCUGUAGCAAAUGAGGAAACCUUCGCCGCAGCGCAUGUAUUGGUCUCGCAUGGCAGUGAAUUCCACCUAAAACAUUUAUUUUGGGUGUUACUAUUAAAAUUAAAAAAGAAGUCAAUUUUACUUACUUGUCCAGCUGUGUCUAGGAUAUCAAGUAGUGCAGGUUCACCAUCAAUGACUGCUUGUUGCUGGUAUGAAUCUUCUGCAAAUUUGACAAAUAUAUAAGAAAAAUUCAACUUUGCAGGAUGAAAAUAACAGCAUACCAAUAGUGGGAUCAUGAUAGUCUAAGAAGCUGUGACUGACGAACUGAAGCGUGACCGCCGACUUGCCCACGCCGCCGUCGCCGAGCACGACGAUUUUGUACACGCGUAUGCCGCCCCGCGUGGUCUGCGCGCCGGCAAGCCCCACCGACGAGCGAUCUGUGUCGAUGUCGGAGUCUUUGCCGCCCGACCUGCUCGAGCCCUGGCGGCACAGCUUGCUCCGCUUGCGGUUGCCGCUUGUGCACGCCUCGCCGGCCAUGCUGGCGCUUCGGCGGCGGUGGUGCGCUCCGUCGUCGCGAUGGUUCCAACGGGGUCGCUCUUUUUGCCUGGAAUUACUUUAACGUCGACAUCCUACGCGGCUCGCGCCUACCGUCCCGUCUUAAACCGAUGGACGAUUCGCCCUGACUGACACCAGCCCCGCGCACAACACCAACACAAGAGAUUGACAGGGCGAUCAUAUGAUUGUCAAUAUUGCAUACCGAGAUUUUCAUUUACAGUUUGCUGCAUGCAUCUUUAUCAGCAUAAACAAUAUGCAGACUUUUAAGGUAUGAUAGUUAUUAAACAAAUGACUAUCAAGUCAAGUUUGUAUCGUUUUAUACGUCGUAGUUACUUUGCAGGUUACGAUAUUACAUUUUGACAUGCGCGUAAUAAAAAUCAAACAGAUAUGAACGGCUAAUUUAUCAUUAUUAUUUGAUAAAUAAUUUAUGUUACUACUUAGAUAUUUGCUCAGGGAGUUAAUAACUACUGUUAAUAGUUUUAUAAUUAUUUUUCAUCAUAACAUUUUAAAUAUCAGCUGAUUUUUGCGUGCUGGUAAACGCAGUGCUUGGGAACUUGUCUUAUAGAUGUCACUACAGUCCUUAUAUACAUAGGUAUAUAAUAUAAAUUAAUUGUUGUAAUUCUUAAUUAUGUCCAGAAAUAUAAGUUUUUGAAUCUUAUUAAAUAAAAAAAUUAUUCCACAU